GGCGAAAUAGCUCAGCUGUGAAAUCUUUAGACUUAGAAUCUGGUGUCUGGUUCUAAUCUGCUUUUCGCCA